UACUCGCGGUCCAAGUCACAGCCAUUUUUAUUGGGUCUAAAACAUCCGUAGCUUGCUUGGUAAGUUUCCUGUGAAAUCCGGCUUCUUAAGAGUCGGGCGGGCAGGAAGUACUGCUAAGCUAGAGACUGGAAGACGUAAGAAGUACGAUUAAAGUAGCGGUAAAAUGUUUUGAUCUUAAUCGGACUCACAAUAGCGAAGGCAUCUUACGAGGACAGUUCUGACAGUAAGGGAUGAAGGCUAGGGGCGCAAAACGGAUUAGAUACCCGUGUAGUCCUAGCAGUAAACACUGCACACUAAACAUUAGUACCUCUUCGAGAGGUAUUAGUGCUGAAGGGAAGCCGAAGAGUGUGCUACCUGGGAAGUAUAGUCGCAAGGCCGAAACUUAAAGGAAUUGGCGGGGAGACACUACAACGGGUGACGCGUGCGGUUCAAUCAGAUUCCACACCGUGAACCUCACCAGGACCGACAGCAGGAUGAAGGUCAGUCUAAAGGGCUUACCUGACACGCUGAGAGGAGUUGCAUGGCCGACGUCAGCCUGUGCUGUGAAGUGACCAGUUAAAUCUGGUAACAGGCAAGACCCACAUGCAUAUUUACCAAGUGUACUAUAUGCAGAUUGCCAUGGUAACAUGGAUGAAAGUGUGGGCUACGUUAGGUGAGUACAGCCCGACAGCCCUGGGCAACACGCGCGCGUCAAUGGUGAAUACAACGGGAUGCAACUCUGAAAGGAGAAGCUAACCCCUUAAAGUUCAUCUCAGUCCAGAUCGAGGUUUGUAACUCAGCCUCGUGACGCUGGAAUCCGUAGUAAUCGUUUGUUAUCAGCGAACGGUGAAUAUGUCACUGUCUCU
rnacentral:rRNA from 1 species